CCCCCUUAUUAAUUUAAACAUCUCAGUUUAACAUCAGCCACUACUUAAUCUAAUUAUUUUUCACAUCAUCUAUGAACAGUAUUUUCCCGAUAAAUAAUUUAUAAAAAUUUACGCUGUAUACAAAAUAAAUUGAUAGUGCAUUCGGCCCAAAAAGCUAUUCAAAAAUACGCUGGCCCAUUUGACAGUGUACAAAUCAUAGGAUAAGUCUUCAGCUUUCGACAACAAACAAAAGUAACUUGAAGGGUGUGUUCAUAUACAUAAAACAAAUGAGUAUUGACACACAACAAACAAAUCUUACUAACUUCUCAAUUAACAACGAUUGGAAAAUCACUCUUUGUUUUUUUCUUGUUUUGGCCAAACAGAACAGUGAUGAAGGGAGACAAAGAAUAGAGUAUUGUUUUGUAUUUUCGCAUCUGAACCGGGCUUGAAGUUCUUCAAGCAUUUUCUUUUGGUCUCAGGAACCUCUAGAAUCAUCGCAAAUACUACCGUGAAGGCACAAACUAUCGGCCAUAGGGUGAAAGUCCCACCCCUCCCCAUUAAAACUAUUUAUCCUUCACCCUUUUCUCUUGUGUAUCUUUCUUGACCUCCCUCUCUCUCUCUUAUCUUCUCUUCAACUUAUCUAAAUCUGAAUAUGCGUUCCAAAAUAAAAAAAUCUAAAUCUGAAUAUUCUUCAAUCUUUUCCCACAACUUGGUCCUUUAUGCAAUCAUUGGCAACACACAUUUCUUAGAUCCUUUGGGUCAAGUUGUCUUUCUCGGCUGGUAUUCAUUUUAAACGUUUCGUAAAAGCAUUACUGAUUGUAAAACAGAUUUUGUUCCAAAAAAAAAAAAAAAGAUUGUAAAACAGAUUUAAAAAGAAAUCAGAUAAUUUGUGGAAAUGCUUUGAAAAAUAAAGUUUAGAGGAAUAAUAGAUGAGAAAGUUAAAUUCAAAGGGUUACUUAAGGAGAUUGAAAGUUCGGGUGAUUGAGUCUGGAUUUGAUUAGUUUGGGAAGAGUCAAGAAGUCAACCAUUUCUUUUUGGAUAAUUUUGCUUCCCCACUUUGGCACGGAUUGGGAUCUGACGUGCGAAAUAUAUCAAGCCUUACUUAAUGUUUCCAAGGCUAAUCAACGUGGAUUGCUCAUCCCUUAUAUAUUAAUUGAGGAACAUUUAAAAAGAUGUAACCUCAAUUUUGUAUUAAUUAAAAGAAGCUCCAAUGCAUAGGUGGCACUCAAUUAGGUAGUCAAUUACAUUCAAUUGAAAAAUAAGUAGGUCCACAUUCGAUUUUUAUAUAUUGUUAGAUACAUAAGUUGGUCAAACUAUAUGAUAUAAUGAUAUGAUAUGAUAUUUUCUUUCCUUAAAUAAAACCUACGGAAUUACCAUAAAUGACUAAUAUAUAUAUGACAAUUAAUGAGUUUAAUAAUAAAGAUUUGAUAACAAUGUAUAUCUCCUCCAUCAUUUUUUGUUUAAUUUUAUAUUAUUAAAAUAAAUUAAACAAUCAAAUUAGCUAUAAAAAUAAAAUUUAGAUUUUUUCGUAUAUGUUAUAUUUUGAAUUUUUAAAAACGACAAUAAAUGACUAAAACUAUUAAAAUUAUUAUGUUAAAAAUUAAUGAUCAAUGGUUUAAUAUUUU
rnacentral:lncRNA from 1 species